GCAGCAAUCCCGCCUCAGUAUUGUGUUGAAAGCCGACGGGGGGGGGAGUGCGCGAAACCGCUCCGAUGCGAAUCCAUUUGACCUGUGUCCGUGACCUCGCGUGGUGUCCGUGGCGAUCCAUAGGUGCGUGCUAGUGACCUUGAGGUGCGGAGAGGAGCGAAGGGCGUGGUGGAUACGGAAUUAAGGAAAUACGGGCGAUAAAACACCACACACGUGCGAGGUGUUGCCCUUUAGGUAGUGAGGAGAGACAGGUACCAGCAGGAGCAGUAGUGGUAACAACAGCAGGAUGGAGAGCUUCAGCAAGAUCCUGCCAUACUCCUGCUAUGAGCUCGGCCACUGCUGGAAACACUCGUGCUCCUCAGCCUCCUUUGAAAUCUGUAUCAUUGGGUUCAUUGAAAGCAUCAAAAUCUAUGGUGUGGUGUACUUGCUAACCGGUCUUGUGAAUGCUCGGAAAAUAAGUAUGAAGUAUGGGAAAAAGCUCUUGAAAACAUCAGUUUGUUUCCUGACAGUCAAUGCUUUUGGGUACAUUGGCUCCUACUGUGUUGUCAGAAGGUGGAAUUUGAGUCGGCCAAGCUUCAGAAAUGCAGGAAGGAUUAGCGGUGAUGACUGCAGGCUGCCAUCGACCCGCAGGUCAUCACAGGAAUCAAAUGCAGCAUCAGUGUGGCUCGCCAAACACUUCCCCUCACACUGGUGGUGUUGACCUGCCUUGUGAACACCUGCCCUCCUGUGUUCCUGCCCUUAAUAGCCCUCCAGGUGACAUCAGACUGUGGAUGAGGGGACAAGAGAGCCAGUGUUCCAAGUACCACCACCAUCACCACUGCCACCACCACCACCACCACCAUCAGGAGCACAGAUUCACUGAAGACCGCUGUCAUGGAUGGACAAGCGUACCAGCCAGCCUGCCCACCACACCCAAGUCAACAACCACUCUGUCGUCACUGCAGAAAAACACAAUCAACAUGACCCGUUCUCCCCUGAGGAGGUGGAAUUUGAGUAGGGAAAGCUUCAGAAAUGCAGGAAGGAUUAGCGGUGAUGACUGCAGGCUGCCAUCGACCCGCAGAUGCAGGUGGGAGGAGAGGAAAUACCUGAAGAAGUGUUGCAUACGAUAUUUGCCAAGAACACCAGGGGACAGUUUAACAAGACAACUGCAAUGGCACCACAAGUUCCUGCCUUUGAAGUGAAGCUUGCUACAGACUCUGCGUUCAAGCUGACAUGGAGUCAAAGGAUUCCCAAGAGUGUUGAGGAUCAGAUACUGACAAGAACUGGCUGGCAUCUUACUGUGUUCAACAGACUCAAAGGGUUCUCAAUGGAACACUGCUGACUUCAAGAUACUGACAAGAACUGACUGUCACCUUGAUAUGCCCUACAGUGGUGGUGUGUGUGAGGCAGUAAUGCAAGGCUGGGGGAUGCUGGAAUGUUCACUCAGCAAGGUCCUUCUGUCAUUUAACUCAUGGCUGCUACAUCUGCAUAAAAAGGACCACAAAUUGUAUCAUUCCUCAGUUUUAUUUUGCAUCAAUUUGUGUCAUUGUGGCUGCUGUCUCCUCUGUAUACACCCUUGAGUCUCACACCUUCACCUGUUCACCUUCACCUGUUCACCUUCACCUGUUCACCCCUUCUCUGCUUUUCAUCCAGCUCUUCACAUUAUCUCAAGAAUAGAGUUGGUGCCUCUACAUUUGCCCUUAACAUUCUGCUCAUAAUUUGCCCUUUUUUUCUCUGGUAACCCCUGCACACUCACCUCUUGCCAACUGUGU